AUGCUGUGUAUCCCAUCUCAGCUCUUUGCCAUGGAAACUAUGCUAAGGAGCCAGAAGAGCUACUAUCCCUGCAGCAGCAGCCACCAGCAGGACAAAAAGAAUGCUUCAAGAGGGCUGCCACAAAAAGGGACUGAGCCUGCAGCUCUUCCCUACUGCACUGUAAACUUGAUUCUCCAAAAACCCAUGAGAAGCUUCUGGCUAGUCCUGUUUUGGCUACGAACUAUGGGUGUUGUGGCUCAUCUCAGCCAAAACCCAAAUUCUGGCAACCACCAAUUACAUCUGUUGCAAAGGAAGAUGAAGGAAGCCUUUCCAAAGACAACUCUGGAAUAA
rnacentral:lncRNA from 1 species